AUAUUUCCAAACAUCAAAAAUCUGCAUUCAACAUUUAAAUACCACUAUUUCAACAUUUAAUUUUUAAUGCUAACCUUUUCUAUAAUAAAACCAUACUAGAAUACAUUAUUAUACAAUUGCUGGCAUAAUAUAUUCUCGCAAUGGCCUGACAAUCCAUCAAGAGUAACAUACCAUGCAAUUACUGGCAUUCCCAUAAAAACAAAGGGUCAAAUUUCAAAAUUGAUAUAUUUAGAACACCAAGCCAGGACUUCAAUUGAAAGCAAAACCAUAGAAUUCAUCAAUUUUAGCUCCAAUUUAUUAUU
rnacentral:misc_RNA from 1 species